rnacentral:lncRNA from 1 species
GUCUGUUUUUUUCAUACUAUAUGCAAUAGGUCUACUGUAUUUGUUGUAUGGAAUGAUUGUAAGGUGUACAUGUCUAACGGGCAGAUGUCAUGUGACCUUGACCUCAUUUUCAUGGUUCAGUGGUUAUAGUUAAAUUUUUGUGUUUUGGUCUGUUUUUUUCAUACUAUAUGCAAUAGGUCUACUAUAUUUUUUGUAUGGAAUGAUUGUAAGGUGUACAUGUCUAGCGGGCAGAUUUCAUGUGACCUUGACCUCAUUUUCAUGGUUCAAUGGUCAAAGUUAAGUUUUGAGUUUUGGUCUAUUUAUC